GAAGUUUUGUGGCUUGCAAAUAGGUACUGCAAAUUUUAUGACUUGCAAAAUAAAUAUUGCAAGUUUUGUUGCUUGCAAAUAAGGUACAGUAAGUUUUGUGGCUUGCAAGUAGGUACCGCAAGUUUUGUGGCUUGCAAAUUGAUAGUUGGCUCUGGCUUACCUUUAGUGGUGUCUAUUGUUAAAAAUUAUUCAUUUUGUUUCGUUAAUGUAAUUUAAAAAUUAAAUUAUUUACUAGAAGCCCAGACAAAAAAUAAUUACAUUUUUAAUUUCAAAAAACUUGUUUUUUUUGUGUUUUUUUUUCCCAGGUUGGAGUGGUUAAUCUGUUCCUUUACAUGAUAAUGUAUACUCAGAUGCAUCUUGUAAUGUGCAAUUGCAAGUUUCCAAAUAAAGUAAAAUUGUUGGCGACAUGGCACAUGUGUUAAAGUCUUCUGUCACAGUUGACUCAGCAUGAAUGAAGACAUUGAUACCAUUUUGCAUUAUGGAAUACACAAGUUGGCAGUUCCUCGUCCACUGCCACCCAAAUACAGGUAGGUAUGCAUGCAUACACAACCCUCAAAAUUAGUAAAACUAAAAUGAAGUUUUUCAUUUUCUGACUUCGUGAUGAAACUUAUUGAAGUACACUCUUUUUGGACAUAGGAGGAGUAUUAUCGCUACAAGCGUGAACAAUAAUAAAACAUUCCAAAGAAUAAUUUGUUAUUUCAACAAUUAGAUAUGUUGUUUAAAUGUAUAAAUGCUUGUUGAAUAUUCUUAUUAUAUCAUCCUAAU